CCUAGCAAUAAAGUAUUUCUUACAAAAAUGUCUUCAAAUAUCUAAGCAUCUCUACCUAUCAUAGCUCUACUACCACCACAGAAUCCUCACCUUCCCUGACCAGCAGUCUAUACAAAAUUUGGGGAGGAGAAAAAGUAUAUAUAGAGCUAAUCAUUUCUGAGUAGACAGAAGAAAGAACCUCUGGAUACUGAGAAAUCUUUGUGAUCUGGAGUGCUAUGGAAAAGCAGAUAAAACUGCAAGUCUAUCUUUUUUCUAGGUGCUUAACAGAAGCUAGUCCGUGCAAAAUAAAGCCUCUAGUAAUUGCCUCACAUGAAGUGAAGUACUAAGGCAGUGCUGAGUGAUGCAGAGACAGGGCUGCUGGGCUGCUUUCAGGAAGACCUAUUAUUCAGAUUUUGCAGGCAAAUUGUUGUGGAGUGUGUCAGACCAGCUUGCUGACUGAACAGAAAGCCAGUUUCCAAAAUAAAAAUGGGCUCCUAGCUUGAAAUUUUGAGCAGACUGUAAUUGCCCAGUGACACAGAACCUGCACCUGCAAGACCCCCCAGCCUUUGGGACCAACAUCUUAUGGAAACAUGAGAAACCACUACUUUCUGUGUUUCUGCCUUUUUACAUUUAGGUUUCACUUGACUUCCACCAAAAUCAAUAUGAUUUAAGAGUUGACAUCAGUGGGACCCUUCCUGAAUCUUUCCCGCUCGUUGUUGGGAUAAAAUACAGAAACACUGAAGCAAAGUCCUACAUGACAGACAGUAGGAAGUGAAGGAAUAGAAGAAGAAUCCUGUCCUACUGUGCUCUGAGACAUACAUGUCAAAAUAUACUCCAUAUAAUUCUUCCAGACUUUGCUUGUUUUGAUGAGAGCCUGUAAAACUGAGCUAUCAGUACUACAAUGGAGGUCCUUUGUAAACUAACCAUUUUGAUGCAGGAACUGGUGUAUGCCUAUCUCUAACAGUCUCUUAUAGCGCGAUAUAGCGUGGAGAAAAUGAAGCCUUGAACCGAUUCUUUGCUCAUUGGUGGUAUUCAGUGUCAUACAUGCCACAUAAACCAGCAUUUCAUAUGGAAGUGAAACAAAAUAAGGCCCUGGGUCAACUGCGUUAUCACAAAAAAGCAUUCAGGGAACUGUAAUGCAGUUUCCAUCCCUGUAAGCUUGCAUUAGUUCCCAACCACCACAGAAAUCAGAGUAGGUGAAAAGGUGGUUUAGGGAUGAUUUUGCCUCCUUAAUUCUUCAGAUGGUUCCAAGCCUGCAAGUACUUGCUGUUGCUCACUAGUGCUAUGAUGGUACUUUCUUACCCUGGCCAGCCUGGUCCAGCCAAGCCCUCCUUGAAGAGUGUUACAGUCCACCAGCAGCCACGGAGGAGCUCCUGAGUGAUGGCAUCACUUCCCGCACUUCUCUGCCUCACAGUUUCACCCCACUGAGAACUGCAAUAUUAUUUCAGAAUCUGCUGUCUACAGGGAUUUUACCUGCUCACUAUCUCUGAUCUCUUUGCCCCUCUGUGACUGGGACACCACUCAUGUGCCCAAUGUGUAGAAUCACGUAACCUUGGAAUUACAGAAAUGCUGACUGAAGGGAGCCUGGAAGUCUUUCGUCUGAUCAGGAUUGUCACCAAGACUAGAUCAGGUAUUCACAGAAGGCAUUCUGGGUCAGCACGGUGUUUGCAAAGAGUAGAUGCGGCAUGAAAAUACAAGGGAUGCGAUUGGAAGUGAUCCUGUUCUUCAAGCAUAAGUAACACUCCAGCACCAGCUUGGUACUGCACAGUGUCCCCUCUCAUCUGGCCUCGCACAGCCUGGGACGUCUUCCAGCCCAUAUAUGAGCCUGUGCAAUGUUUAUCUCCCCUGGGCCCACAUCCUCACUGCUUGGUCUUGCUGCAUGCUUUCCUCACUGUAUCUUAUUCAGCUGGUUCUUGAUUGUGGUUUGUUUUUUUAAUAAGUAUUGAUAAUUAAAAAUAUAUUUUAGAUUUUGAUGAAGGCUGCACUGAUAGGAGAUCUGAGAAAAUCAGAUGUACCUCCAAACCCCUCAUGAAGCUAAUAAGGAGAUACUAUGACAGGGCUAAAGCUAUGACACAAAGCAAGAAACCUGUGGUAGUUUACUCAGUUACUUUUAAAAUGUAAUACAGCUUUGAUCACCUGUCUAUCAUGUAGAUUUGUAGCCAGACAGGAAAGCGAAGCUCUUGCUACACAAGCUAUUAAUUUGUUUAUAUGCCAUACUGGGUUUGACUUGACACUGGCAUUAUUUUUCUAUUAAUACAGGUAAUUAAGAUUGCCAAAGGAGAAGAAGUGCUUAUUCACAUCUAGGCUAGACUGUUGUCUGCCUUAAGACCAACUUUUGAUUGAUUUUUCAAACCAAAAAGAUUAUUCAAACAGAAAAGUGGGUGUAUUUUAUAGAUACAUGGAAAAAGAAACUUCAGUGCAUAUUUCUCAUUUGUAUAUGACAUACAUUUCACAUUACAAUUACCUACAUCUUCAACAAAUCUAGAAUCUCUUCAUUUCUUAUCCCACUCUGAAAUUCUUGCCUAUGAUGAAUCCUGGGAAAUCAAUUGGUUUAACUACAGAAGGCUGGUAUGCUCACAAUUAAAUACUCUCUCAAGUCUCUCUGUAUUCUGUCUGUAUGUAUUUUAAUGAAGUUUUUGUUAGUGACAGAAGCCUUCUCUGUUUCAGCUUAAACUUUAGCAGACCCUUUGGGGAUCUAUAAAAAGAAACGUUCCUGGAACAUUA